rnacentral:lncRNA from 1 species
ACUAGGUUAAUUGAUGGGUGUAUUCUCAGAAAUAAAUCAGUUUCCAGGAAAUUCAGUGAAGCUUUGAGUAAGUUGAAAAGUUUUCAUCUCUUUUAUGGUGAUUUUAGUGACUAUUUUUCUUCUAAUGAUACAACCAAACAUGCUAAGGAAAUAAAGCUAAAUUCCUUACAGUAAUUUCACACAUCCUAAUAAUGACAGAAGCACUAGAAUUUACACUUUUCACAAGUCAGUCUUACUACAUGUCUUUAUACUUUGGCUUUCUGCAGAAUUUGCUAGCAACUGUUCCUGAUAGAAUGAUUCAUCCCAUGUGACUCAUUUUCAACUGCAGGCCACAGUUCUUUAUUCCGACCUGCAUUCAUCUGCUCUGCCAAUGAAUAGGCAGAAGUCAUGGAGGGAGGAACCUUUCCCAUCAUCCAGUGAACUGAUGCCAGAAGUGAGCCUGUCUGCGGCGAGUGAACAGCAAGCAGAAGGGGCACUUUGGAAUAACAAAGAAUGGGCACGUUUGCAUCUUUGGUGAACAAUCUGAAUGAAGCGGAUCCAUUUCUCAGUAAAGGUCAUGCUUAGUAGUGGCUACAGGGAGUUGCUGAGUACAGGUGCUUGCUCUGCCAUUCUGCAGUUUGAAGAUCUCUAACUGGGAAAUAUCUUUCUGUGGUGGCCUGUCUUGGUUUCUGUAACACUAAGACGGUGCAGAAAACAAUCUGUGGAUCUACACAAGGAACAGAAUACAUGAAAAACCAGGGUCAGGAUAAGUGUGUGUUACUGCCAGGUAAGCCAGUGGUUUAAUGUAAUUGCAAAUUUGGCAUAUAUUGUUAGCAAAAUUGGGUGAGCAGCUGUCUGGAUGUGAUAGGAUCAUUUUCCCCUCACAUUUUCUUAGAUAAUACUAUUAUUCAAUAUCUGUCUGAGUGAGAAAUGACUUGGGGUUAGUUUGACUUCAGAUUUGAAUGUUGCGACUUACUCUUGAACCUGUAUUUCCUCAGUUUUCCAUGUGCUUCCUGUCUUUAUUCAAAGCCAAGGCCUGAAGUUCCAAACAGAAAACCACAGGAAAAGCUGCUCUGGUAAUGUUUGCCUUGAGCAGAAAUGAAUAGCAAGAGAUAUUUCCUGCAAAAUCUUCUUUUUUGUGGUGAAUGUAGCCUGGAUUCCUGACCAAAGAGUCUGGCUAAAUCUGCCUGGCUUCAGAUAAGAUUGUAUCAGUUAUAGAUUCUUAGUUGAAACGUGUCUUUCAGUUUACUGUCUUCAGGAUUUUUUUGAUCCCAUUUCACAAAUACUUUUUCCCUUCACUGGACUAUUUUAUUUCUUGAAAGGGGGUGAAUGGAAACUUCUGUUAUACUUUUUGCAAUUCUGUUAUGAAGUAAUACUCUGGGCAGAGUAUUACUGCUUACACAGAGCAAGGCAAGGAAUCCCAGCA